AAUCUUCCCGGUUCAUCAGCUGUGCGUGUUUUAUUAAAUGGUAUAGUGAGAUGGUACGAUACUUAUACAGCUCUAGGACAAAUCAACAUGGCCUUAGAUUCGGUUAAAUGGGAAUUAGAUUAUUUCCUUAAAUGUUGGAUUCCGUCAAAACAAAUUUACUAUUAUCAGGUUGGCGAUGGUGAUAUAGAUCAUAAAUUCUGGGGUAGACCUGAAGAUAUGACGAUGGCUCGACCAGCUUUCUCUCUAUCUUCAUCUAAUCCAGGAAGUGACGUAGCUGGGCAAACGGCGGCAGAUUUUGCUGCGGGUUCCAUCGCCUUUAAGAAAACAGAUCCAGCUUAUUCUGCGCAACUUCUUGAAGCUGCUAAAUCACUGUACAAAUUUGCGGUCAACUAUAAAGGAAUUAUGCCUUCUUCUAAAUUUUAUAA